AAUUUUGGACAAUGGGGGAAACCCUGAUCCAGCCAUCCCGCGUGUAUGAUGAAGGCCUUCGGGUUGUAAAGUACUUUUGGCAGAGAAGAAAAGGUAUCUCCUAAUACGAGAUACUGCUGACGGUAUCUGCAGAAUAAGCACCGGCUCACUACGUCCCAGCAGCCGCGGUAAUAAGUAGGGUGCAAGCGUUAAUCGGAAUUACUUGGCGUAAAGCGAGUGUAGGCGGUUCGGAGAGAAAGAUGUGGAAUCCCAGGGCUCAACCUUGGAACUGCAUUUUUAACGGCCGAGCUGGAGUAUGUCGGAGGGGGGUAGAAUUCCACGUGUAGCAGUGAAAUGCGUAGAUAUGAGGAGGAAUAACGAUGGCGAAGGCAGCACCCUGGGAUAAUACUGACGCUCAGACACGAAGGCGUGGGGAGCAAACAGG
rnacentral:rRNA from 1 species